rfam:Triticum urartu cultivar G1812 contig391423, whole genome shotgun sequence.
CAACUACUCCCUCCAUUCGGAAUUAUUUGUCGUGGAAAUGGAUGUAUCUAGACGUAUUUUAGUUCUAGAUACAUCCAUGUUCAAGACAAGUAAUUCCGAACGGAGGGAGUAGCAA